rnacentral:lncRNA from 1 species
GGGAAACUUUGUUCUGAAAGUAUCAUAUGGAUCCUCAAUAGCAACUGGCAUGACGGCAGUAGGGAAGCAAAAUAGUAUCAACGAUAAAAUAUCUAGAAGCCGCGAUUUACAAGUAUGAAGCAGCUGUGAACAUGUUCGCCGGAAAGUGGAAGUGUGAUGAGAGAGAAAGAUGAAACUUGGCCGGAAAGUUAACGGACUCCGGUGAGAAAGAAAUGGGCGCGAUAUGUGUGUU